rnacentral:rRNA from 1 species
CAAUAGCGUAUAUUAAAGUUGUUGCGGUUAAAAAGCUCGUAGUUGGAUUUCUGCUGAGAACGACCGGUCCGCCCUUUGGGUGUGUAUCUGGCUCUUUCUUGGCAUCUUCUUGGUGAACGUUGCUGCACUUGACUGUGUGGAGCGCUACCCAGGACUUUUACUUUGAGGAAAUUAGAGUGUUUCAAGCAGGCAUACGCCUUGAAUACAUUAGCAUGGAAUAAUAAGAUAGGACCUCGGUUCUAUUUUGUUGGUUUCUAGAACUGAGGUAAUGAUUAAUAGGGAUAGUUGGGGGCAUUCGUAUUUAACUGUCAGAGGUGAAAUUCUUGGAUUUGUUAAAGGCGGGCUACUGCGAAAGCAUUUGCCAAGGAUGUUUUCAUUGA